ensembl:misc_RNA Metazoa_SRP Metazoan signal recognition particle RNA
GCCGGGAAUGGUGGCUCAUUCCUGUAAUCCCAGCACUUUGGGAGGCCGAGGUGGGUGGAUCACUUGAGGUCAGGAGUUCAGACCAGCCUGAUCAACAUGGUGAAACCCCAUCUCUA